rnacentral:rRNA from 1 species
AUUGAACGCUGGCGGCAGGCUUAACACAUGCAAGUCGAGCGAGCGGCGGACGGGUGAGUAAUGUCUGGGAAACUGCCUGAUGGAGGGGGAUAACUCCUGGAAACGGUAGCUAAUACCGCAUACCAUCAGAUGUGCCCAGAUGGGAUUAGCUAGUAGGUGGGGUAAUGGCUCACCUAGGCGACGAUCCCUAGCUGGGCUGAGAGGAUGACCAGCCAAUCUGGAACUGUGACACGGACCCGACGCCUACGGGUGGCAGCAUUGGGGACUAUUGGACACUGGGCGCGAGCCUGAUGCAGCCAUGCCGCGUGUGUGAAGAAGGCCUUCGGGUUGUAAAGCACUUUCAGCGAGGAGGCGUUACUCGCAGAAGAAGCACCGGCUAACUCCGUGCCAGCAGCCGCGGUAAUUC